UGUGACAGUUAUUUGCAGCCACCCACUAAGCAGGGAUACCACCGGGUAUCAACUCCUAAGGGGGUGCAAAUGGGUAAAAUGUUCCGCCCAGCAAACCUUUGUCCAGUUGAAACUGAGUGCAUCAGCUAGUCCCAAUUACGUACAGUAUGUGUUUUAUUUACUGACAUGGAUUUGAUUUACUGGCAUCCCUACAUGCCAGGGUACCUAGUUAUGUCAUAGGGACACCUGACUGAUUUCUGGAUUGAGGAUCAGGAAAUACAAUGAAGACAAGAAAUAACCACAUUACAGACCAUAUCAUGACUAUUGCUCUAUGUCCAUUUUAUUGGACAGAAAAAAAGACCAGCAUCCGCUGCAUAGCACACAAGCCUGGUCAGCAGACAUUUCUACUUCAGGACCCUGGUGAGGAUCCUGAUGGUGACCUGCGUACAAACAGGACAAGAGAGUACAUUUACUGAAGUGUUUGAUCAGUCAGUUACCCAGGAGCACGUGUAUCAUUCUGCAAUAAAGAACUUAGUGGAUGAUAUCAUUUCAGGGGGGAUGCAGUUACACUCCCAACAGUCAGGAUCCAGGGGGUCGAAAUAUAAUGCUGUCAAAUUUGCAUAUGGUCGAACAGGCAACAUUUACUACGAUGGGCAACAAUUAUGAGCCUGGAGUAAUAAUACUUUGCACCCUUAAAGAUCUAAAGACCAUCAAGGAGCCACGAAGGAGAAAAAAAAUCUUCCCUGGCAGUCCUGAAGAGACCAUUCGUUUACUGAAGAAAGGAAAUAAGCUGCCAAUAAGACCUCAUCCUGCUCCUACGCAGUUUUACAAAUCACCGUAGACCACAUGAGCAAUGACGCAGUGCACACAGGCAAGCUCUACGUGGUAGACCUCGUGGAAUCAGAAUGAGCAUGUCAGAAUAAAAACAGUGGCCAAACCUUAAAAGAAUGUGGAUAUAUCAAUCAGACAGACCCUUCUCGCCCUGCAUAUAUUGCUCCCCAUGGACCCUAUGCCAAGAGAACAUCAUGUGGAGAGGAACCAUGUCUGUGUCCCCAACAAGAUUCUUGAGGACGGCAGAGGAAACAAGUCCUGCUGAGGGACACUCGUUGACCAGAGUCAGUCCAUAAGGACAAUGCUCACAGUUCCAGUAAGACUGGUCGUCUGAGGCACAUGGCAGGUCCUCUGCAUACUGUAAGUUGCUCCUUGUGGUCCCUAUGACAAGAAAACUCUUGGCUACACCUAAGAUCUGUAGUCCAUCUGAAAUGUGUGAAUCGAAGACAGUGAAAAGUUCCACUUGGGCUAAGACAAUCACUUUCUACCACUAACACCAUUGGCCACUUAUCAAAUCAACAUGUUGGCAAUUCAACAUCAUUUGUGAUGUUAGUGGUUUCAUUGAAUCAUUCAUCAUUAUUUCAAAAUAAAAUGUUAUUGUAUCCUG